AGGUUGCCAGGAAGCAGGGUCAUAGACUCGUAGACUUUUAACUAGACAAUUUUCAGCAGUCGGUCCCAUCUUAUCCAAUAGGACAAUGGCGAAAGGUGCAAUGGAUUCUUCCACCUUCCAGGCUCUAGUUGAUAAAGUUCAACAGGAAACAACAUCAUCGGAGAGGAAGGUAGAGAUACUUUACAGCUGCAGGGGAUUCUAUAAUGCAGAUCAGGCUGCUCGACUUCUUCAUUGCUAUGCCAAUCCAGCUGAUAAAAUUAGAGUUCUACGAAUUUUGGAGCCACGAUUGUGUCAGAUGACAUGUAGAGAGGGAAGAGACAUCAUCAAUGCUGUCAGUAUCCACAAUGAUAAAUUAAUUGCCUUAGACUGCAUUAAGCGGUAAGUUCCGUAUUUUACAAACGUGCGAGACACAAAGUAUUAAUAUACAUUUAAUGUAUGCUUUACAGAUAUUGAAAGUACAGUUUAAAAAAUACUUUCAAAACCUAAAAAUUAUGUAGUACAUUUGUAUUUGGGUCAAAUGAAUUGUCUUGAUGUUUGAAAAAUUCUAUAUUCUAUCCAGCGUGCUUGGUGACUAUCGCUCAAAACUAGGAGAGGAAUACAUUCUUAGUGCUUUUCCAUUUGAGACGGACAAAUACAGAGCAAUGCAGAUCCUGCAAACAGUCAAUUCUUUUGUUGGGGACUAUGUGGCAGCAGGGGGUCACCAAGGGUACGCAGCAUUAGGAGGUCUGUACACACAAGCCCGCCCAAUGGUGCCUCACCUAUACGGAAAUGUUGCUGACCAAGCUCAGUUGAUACCUGGUCAUGGAAAAAUAGAAAUUCCUCCCGAGGCUCAGCCAGGGGUGGUCCCAUCCAUUUACACCGGUCACCCUUCUUAUGCAUAUCCCGCUGACAGGAGUUACGACGAGGACAGGGGAUACCCUGGAAACUCCUCCCUGGGCCAGAGUCUGCCAGGAGAUUACCCCAAAGGAGCCCCGCCCCUGGGGUAUCACAGUGGAGCCCCAAACCCUACCGGCUUCUUACAACUGGAGUCAUAAAUAACCCCCUUUAUGAAAACGUUACCUUUCAGGAAAAGCCAUGAGUGUAUAGUAUUAUAAACUGAUCAUUUUUUUAUUAAAUUGAUUGCAUUUGUAUAAACCCAUAAAAAGUAACCCUUUAUUCUUGAGUGGGACUGUUAUCAUUAAAGACAGGAGUACGGAUUAUUGGAACAUUUAAUAUUAAUGAAUUUUCUUGCUGUUACCUGAUGGAGUUUCGAACGAUUUUCUGUGUUUAUCUUUUCACUGAUGCACAUACUUAGCAUUAAUCCUUAUAUUGGAAAUGUAUGUUGAUCAACUUCCAGAAUAAUUCAUUUAUGAGAUUUUAGAAUGUAAAACUAUUGAAUCAUGUUAUCAACUAUAUAUUUAAAAAUUAGCCUUCUUUAAUAUAUUGGUUUCUUUUUCGUUUUAUCAAUAGAAUACUAUUUAUGAAUUUGUUUUUAAUUACUUUAUUUGUUAAUUUUUGUUGAGUUUUGUUUUUGUUGGAAAUUGAUUUUUAAGUUAGCUAUGCUCAAGUUGCUUUCAAGUUUUUUUUUUUUGUUCACUGACUUAUUGAUGUACCGUAACAACUUAUAAAGCACGGGUGGUUUGGUGCAUGUGAAGUGGAGAAUUACAUGGAUGUAUAACGCAUAUCAGUAUUAUAUAGUCAUUGUAGAAAAUAGGAAUAUUUUAUUUUACACAUUAUGCUGUUUUCAUCAUUUUUUCCCCCUCUCUUUUCUGAAAAGUGUGAAAAUCUAUUGUGCAUUGAACACUAUAAUAUUAACACAUCUGCAACAAUAAAUGUUUCAUUGCUGAG
rnacentral:misc_RNA from 1 species